rnacentral:rRNA from 1 species
AUUGAACGCUGGCGGCAUGCCUUACACAUGCAAGUCGAACGGCAGCGGGGGAGAAGCUUGCUUUUCCUGCCGGCGAGUGGCGAACGGGUGAGUAAUACAUCGGAACGUGCCCUGUAGAGGGGGAUAACUAGUCGAAAGAUUAGCUAAUACCGCAUACGACCUGAGGGUGAAAGUGGGGGACCGCAAGGCCUCAUGCUAUAGGAGCGGCCGAUGUCUGAUUAGCUAGUUGGUGGGGUAAAGGCCUACCAAGGCGACGAUCAGUAGCUGGUCUGAGAGGACGAUCAGCCACACUGGGACUGAGACACGGCCCAGACUCCUACGGGAGGCAGCAGUGGGGGAUUUUGGACAAUGGGCGAAAGCCUGAUCCAGCAAUGCCGCGUGUGUGAAGAAGGCCUUCGGGUUGUAAAGCACUUUUGUCCGAAAAGAAAUGGCUCUGGUUAGUACCUGGGGUCGAUGACGGUACCGGAAGAAUAAGGACCGGCUAACUACGUGCCAGCCGCCGCGGUAA